rnacentral:rRNA from 1 species
UGGGGAAUAUUGGACAAUGGGCGAAAGCCUGAUCCAGCAAUGCCGCGUGAGUGAUGAAGGCCUUCGGGUUGUAAAGCUCUGUCGGGAGGGACGAAAAAGCGGAUUAACAAACCGCAUUGACGGUACCUCCAAAGGAAGCACCGGCUAACUCUGUGCCAGCAGCCGCGGUAAUACAGAGGGUGCAAGCGUUGUUCGGAAUUACUGGGCGUAAAGCGCGUGUAGGUGGCGAUGUAAGUCGGGUGUGAAAUCCCUCAGCUUAACUGAGGAAGUGCACUCGAUACUGUGUCGCUUGAGUGUUGGAGGGGAUGGCGGAAUUCCCGGUGUAGAGGUGAAAUUCGUAGAUAUCGGGAGGAACACCUGUGGCGAAGGCGGCCAUCUGGACAACUACUGACACUGAGACGCGAAAGCGUGGGUAGCAAACAG